rnacentral:rRNA from 1 species
CACGUAGGCUGUAUAGUAAGCAAUUGGUGAAAUCCCUCGGCUCAACCGAGGAACGGCUAUUUGUACUGCUAUACUUGAGGGUGGAAGAGGAGAGUGGAAUUCCUGGUGGAGCGGUGAAAUGCGUAGAUAUCAGGAGGAACGCCUGUGGCGAAAGCGACUCUCUGGUCCAUUCCUGACGCUGAGGUGCGAAAGCCAGGGGUGCGAACAGGAUUAGAUACCCUGGUAGUCC